CCCCUCCCACACACACACACC
rnacentral:misc_RNA from 1 species